GUAGGUGAACCUGCGGAAGGAUCAUUAUAGAGAUUUUUUGGCCUCAGGUCAAUGUCUCCGUCCUCAUGUCAAACUCUUUACGCUUGCUUUCGGCGGAAGUGUCGGCCCCGUGACAGGGAGCCGACCGCCGUCGGUCUUUUUUUCCCAACCCUUUUGAAGCAUGAAGUCUGAACCAAACCAAAACAAAUACAAAACUUUCAACAACGGAUCUCUUGGCUCUG
rnacentral:misc_RNA from 1 species